CCCUGGGAAACUGGGAUUAAUGUCCGAUAGGCGAAGAUUCCUGGAAUGGAUCUUUACCUAAAAGGUGCUUUGAUCAUGCUUCUUAGCGCUGCCUAAGGAUGGGGCCGCGGCCGAUCAGGUUGUUGGUGAGGUAACGGCUCACCAAGCCGUUGACCGGUACGGGCCGUGAAAGCGGGAGCCCGGAGAUGGGCACUGAGACAAGGGCCCAGGCCCUACGGGGCGCAGCAGUCACGCAACCUCCGCAAUGCACGAAAGUGUGACGGGGUUAUCCCGAGUGCCGUUCGCUGAGAAUGGCUUUUCCCUAGUGUAAAUAGCUAGGGGAAUAAGGAGAGGGCAAGCCUGGUGUCAGCCGCCGCGGUAAUACCAGCUCUCCGAGUGGUGGGGACGCUUAUUGGGCCUAAAGCAUUCGUAGCCGGCUGGACAAGUCUUCUGUUAAAGCCAACGAUUUAAUCGUUGGACUGCGGGGGAUACUGUUCGGCUAGGAGACGGGAGAAGCCGACGGUAUUUCCAGGGUAGGGGUGAAAUCCUAUAAUCCUGGGAAGACCACCAGUGGCGAAGGCUGUCGGCUAGAACGCGCUCGACGGUGAGGGAUGAAAGCUAGGGGAGCGAACCGGAUUAGAUACCCGGGUAGUCCUAGCUGUAAACGAUGCAGGCUAGGUGUUAGAGCGGCUAUGUGCCGCUUUAGUGC
rnacentral:rRNA from 1 species